UCGAGUGGGUUUAGGCCCACGGCAAACGGGUGAGUAAUAUCUAGGAACAUACCUAUAGUUGAGCAUAACCUACCGAAAGGUAGAGCAAUUCUCAAUGUGACCGCAAGGUUAAAGUCGCAAGACGCUAUAGAAGUGGCCUGGACACCAUCAGCUAGUUGGUAAGGUAAAGGCUUACCAAGGCUUUGACGGUUAGGGGCCCCGAGAGGGGAAACCCCCACACUGGAACUGAGACACGGUCCAG
rnacentral:rRNA from 1 species